AUUGAACGCUGGCGGCAGGCCUAACACAUGCAAGUCGAGCGGAGCGGCGGACGGGUGAGUAAUGCCUAGGAAUCUGCCUGGUAGUGGGGGAUAACGUCCGUAAACGGGCGCUAAUACCGCAUACUAUCAGAUGAGCCUAGGUCGGAUUAGCUAGUUGGUGGGGUAAAGGCCUACCAAGGCGACGACCCGUACCUGGUCUGAGAGGAUGAUCAGUCACACGGGAACGGAGACACGGUCCAGACUCCAACGGGGGGAAGAAGUGGGGAAUAUUGGACAAUGGGCGAAAGCCUGAUCCGGCAAUGCCGCGUGGGUGAAGAAGGUCUUCGGAUUGUAAAGCACGUUAAGUUGGGAGGCGUUACCAACAGAAUAAGCACCGGCUAACUUCGUGCCAGCAGCCGCGGUAAUAC
rnacentral:rRNA from 1 species